rnacentral:rRNA from 1 species
GACGAACGCUGGCGGCGUGCUUAACACAUGCAAGUCGAACGGAAAGGCCCUGCUUUUGUGGGGUGCUCGAGUGGCGAACGGGUGAGUAACACGUGAGUAACCUGCCCUUUACUUUGGGAUAACUUCAGGAAACUGGGGCUAAUACCGGAUAGGAGCUCCUGCUGCAUGGUGGGGGUUGGAACGUUUCGGCGGUUGGGGAUGGACUCGCGGCUUAUCAGCUUGUUGGUGGGGUAGUGGCUUACCAAGGCUUUGACGGGUAGCCGGCCUGAGAGGGUGACCGGCCACAUUGGGACUGAGAUACGGACCAGAGUCCAACGGGAGGCAGCAGUGGGGAAUAUUGCACAAUGGGCGGAAGCCUGAUGCAGCGACGCCGCGGGCGGGAUGACGGCCUGCGGGGUGUAAACCGCUUUCGCCUGUGACGAAGCGUGAGUGACGGUAAUGGGUAAAGAAGCACCGGCUAACUACGUG